UACGUAGGGUGCAAGCGUUAAUCGGAAUUACUGGGCGUAAAGCGUGCGCAGGCGGUUUUGUAAGUCUGUCGUGAAAGCCCCGGGCUCAACCUGGGAAUUGCGAUGGAGACUGCAAGGCUUGAAUCUGGCAGAGGGGGUAGAAUUCCACGUGUAGCAGUGAAAUGCGUAGAGAUGUGGAGGAACACCGAUGGCGAAGGCAGCCCCUGGGUCAAGAUUGACGCUCAUGCACGAAAGCGUGGGGGAGCAAACAGG
rnacentral:rRNA from 1 species